UGGGGAGAGUAAAGCAAAGCUUCUGGUGAGCGGGGCACAUAGAUGGUAAUCGUUGUCCAGACAGACAGGAAUUUGCAGGAUGAGGGCCCAUAAUUCUCACACAUAAAACCAGCAGGAUUUCCAGAAGGCUGCCCAGCAGCCUAUGCCUCAGAAAGCCAACUUCCCAUUUUUAAGAGAAACUGAGUACUCACUCAGGCCGCAAACAGAAGUGAGGUCCUAAGAACAACAGCUGGCCACAGAGGAUGCUCCAAUAAAACAGAACCUCAAACUGGGAAGUUCAGAUACAAGAGGACUCAGCAGACUCUGACUGGGAGCACUGGGGAGAUAACGGGGCACAACGGACUAUGUUUUUACCUUCCGAGUUGCUUCCUGGACAAAAGAAAUGGUCAACCCUAGAAACAGUGUUGACCUGGAGGUUACAAAAUUUGGGAGAACAUCAGAUCUAAACCCAGGCCCAUAUGGGGAGAAGAAAGAGUCUCAGGGAAAGAAUUCCUGGAUCCUUAAAACAAACAGAGAAAGGAUGGGAUGAGGUGGGGAUGCGGUAGGGAUG